UAUUAACAGUUAUUGAAAUUAACAAUAUCAGCGACAUCUUUUUAAAGACUAAACACCUUUUCAAGUAUCGAAUUUAACAUGUCAAUAAAAUAUAUUAAUACCAAAAAAGGUUUCAUUUAAUAUUGUUCACAUUAAACCUUUAAAUGAAAGUGUCGCUUUAACUAUUUUCCGUGUCUUAUUAAGCCGCGAAUCGUUUGCUAAAAACAGUUAACAAAAAGGGCUACACGUUCUAAUUCUUAAUGAAAUACAAAAAUAAGUAUAACAUAAUUAAUAACGUCCAUAAACACACACAGCAAGAUCAAAGUUUUAAUGGAAAACUAAUAUGACAUUCCACGUAAAUUAUUAUUUUCGUCUAAAUCGAAUACUAUAUAUAGAGAAACAAUGUAUUUAUAACCGACCAAUGAGGUAACAUUAUGCAACUUUCAAUUUACACAGUGCUAUAUGGCAACAAUAUGGAAUUUGAACAGUGGUAGUGUUUUAAGGUCUGGACUAUCAUUACUUAAACUUGCAACCGCACUCAGUACGCAGUGGUCGGUCAACAAAAUGUGUGGAUGGUAUUUGAAUACGAAUACAAUCGGACCAAUUAUUAUUAUGCAUAUGAUAUUUUAUGUACCCAAAAUUCUGCUACGAUAGCCCGGUUUGACCGUUUUUUUUUCGUAUUGGCAUGGAUAUAGUAAUUAUUAUGAAAAUGGGUUCCAUAUUUCGCUUAAUGCAAAUGGUACAUUGAUCUACCUCACCAUAUUUAAAAUUGAUGAACGAAUGUUUGGCGUGUAAAGUUGCUACUAUGAUUACUACAGGACAAACAGGACAACGGUGUGUGUCGUAAAAGGAGACCAAACAAAUACAGGAACUAAAUCCGAGAACGAAACAAAGACAGGAACUAAAUCCGAGAUCAGUUUUGGCGAUAUUCCAUUUUCCCUCAUGCUCGGCCCGAUUGGUGGUGGAUUAGCAGCUGGCGCAGGAGCAUUCGCGCUCAUCAUUAAAGUGCUACAAUUGUGCAAACGUGAAGCCGAAACACAACCAAGCAACACCAACAAUAAUGAACAAUCCCGACAAGAGGAAGGUAUUGCCUUGGAAGAUGUUGAACUCGACAUGGAAGAUAAAGAAAAUCAGAAACGAAAGAAGCGUUCUCGAACAACAGCAACACAGACUGUGUGCGCUGAUCGUGAUAAUGAUAAGCCAGAAUGAACCGUGUCAAUGCAAGACACGUAAAAAUACAAGCAUAUGGAAUAACCUAUUUCGCAGGAUCUAUGUAUAUUCUAAGUGUAUUUUUAGAAAGCAUUGUUAUUUUUGCGCAUUAAGUAAAUAUUUCACUAUUCAUGUAUAAUAACAAACUUAAGAUAUACACAGUCCGCUUUUUUGUUUCAUUUUCUUUUUAUAGACGUGUGCUGUCUAUCAAUUAGCUUACAGGAGUAUACUACACGUAUUUAUCUUAAGUAUUGUUAGAAUUGAACAAACUAUGCUAUAUUUGAUACAACUGCUAAUAUAAGCUUAAUAUAAACGGAAUAGAGGUUUGUACACAAAAAUGUACGUAUGUUCAUGGCUAUUGUAAUAAAGUGCUAGUGUAAUGUGCAAGCAACAUUUUUCAUUUUAAAACGUUUGACAAACCACAUUAACAGAUAGUUGACUAGAUCAAAGGAAGUGUUGAUUAAACGAUGGGUAAACACACGACAAUGCACCUUGUCUAAAACCAUGACUCGAUUCAGCUCAGAAAUACAAUGUAAGAGUUCACGUUCAAAUAGUUUGAAUAUUUGUAGUAGUAGCACUACUGAAACAUUUUUAUAUUAACAUUUUUGAAUGCUGCACUACACACUUAUAUUUUUAUGCUGCCCCAAAAUGUUUUGGGGGAGCAAAUAGUCGCCGCUUCGUCUGUCCGUGCGUGUGUCCGUCCGUCCGUGCACAAUUUGUUUCCGGGCUAUUUCUCAGCAAUUAAUGACCAGAAUUCAAUUAAACUUUAUGGGAAGCUUCACUAUUAAGAGAAGAUGUGCACAUUUUCAGCCGGUUCUGGUCGGAUGAUUUUCCGCAGAGUUAUGGCCCUUUGAAAUGUUCUAUUAACUGUACAUAUAGUGCAAUUCUUGUCCGGGCUAUUUCUCAGCAACUAAUGACCGGAAUUCAAUGCAACUUUAUGGAAAGCUUCACUACCAAGAGGACAUGUGCAUAUUAUCAGCGGGUUCUAGUCAGAUGAUUUUUCACAGAGUUAUGACCCUUUCAAAUUUUCCCAUUAACUGUUCAUAUAGUGCAAAUCUUGUCCGAGCUAUUUCUCAUCAACUAUUGACCGGAAUUCAAUGAAACUUUAUGGGAAGCUUCACUAGCAAGAGGAGAUAUUGCAUAUUAAUAGCCGGUUCUGGUCGGAUGAUUUUUCUCAUACUUAGGGUCCUUUGAAAUUUUCCAUUGUACAUAUAGUGUAAUUCUUGUCCGAGCUAUUUCUCAGCAAAUUAUUACAGGAAUUCAAUGAAACUUUAUGGGAAGCUUCACUACCAAUAGGUGAUGUGCAUAUUAUCAGCCGGUUAUGGUCAGAUGAUUUUUCACAGAGUUAUGAACCUUUGAAAUUUUCCAUUAACUGAACAAAUUGUGCAAUUCUUGUCCGGGCUAUUUCUCAGCAACUAAUGACCGGGAUUCAAUGAAACUUCAUGGGAAGCUUCAUUACCAAAAGGAGAUAUGCAUAUUAUCAGCCAGUUCUGGUCGGAUGACUUUUCACAGAGUUAUGGGCCUUUGAAAUUUUCCAUUAACUGUACAUAUAGUGCAAUUCUUGUCCGGGCUAUUCCUCCCCAACUACUGACUGGAAUUCAAUGAAGCUUUAUGGGAAGCUAAACUACCUUAAGGAGAUGCGCAUGUUAUUUGUGGGUUCUGGUUAGAUGAUUUAUUAGAGAGUUAUGGCCCUUUGAAAUUUUUAAGUUGCUAAACCAUCCAUCGUAUUAUUUUGUCCAAAGUUAUGCCCCUCAAGACGUUUCCUUUUAUCUGAAUAUAUAGUGCAAUAUUGUGACAAAAAAAACUUUGGGGAGCAUCACCCGUCUCCGACGGUUUCUUGUUAAGAUUGGUAGGAGUGCUUCUAAGAACUAUAUACAUGUUAAAAUAACAUUACUACUCAAAAUUAACGAACAUUUCAUACACUAUUUCGUAAAAUAAACUAAACCAAUUAAAAAUCAGUGUUCGUUAUGGCAAUUGCUGAAAUUUCAACGCCAGUUGUGGUCUGGUAAAAUAGAUGUUUGUAGACACACAAUGCUCCUUGUUUUUCCAUUUUAAUUUACCGCAACGAUAUCUAUUCAUUCGACGCAUGAACACUAACAUGGUGUUCGUGUGUCGUAUGAAUAGAUAUAUUCGCGGGAAAUUAAAAUGGAAUUGUGUCACAAAUAAAUAAAACGAGCAUUUUGUAUCUACAAAAAUCUAUGAAAUCAUACCACAUCUAGCGUUGAAAUUAUGGCUACUGCUAGAAGGAACACUGAUUGUAAAGGUGUUAAAUUUUACGAAAUACUGUGUGAAAUUUUCGUUGAUUUUGAGCGUUAUAGAGACUUUAACAUUUCAAAAGUUAUUAUACACAUGUUGUCUUGUUAUAUUUUGCAAAAUUAAUGAAUGUAUCGUUUAAAAAACGAUUUAUGUCUUGCUGGGCUACUAAAUGUGUGUUACAACAGCUCAAAUGCUAUUUGUUGGCAUGCAGCAUUGCACAUAGAAGGUAAAUACAUGUAUUGACAUUAGUGUACUAUGUUCACACAUCGCUUAACAUCCAUUUGUUAAAUCUCAAAUUAUGACAUAUGACGUC